AUACUUUCAGGUCCCCCCAUCAGUUGGCAGACUAAUUAUAAAGCUUGGCAACUACCUAAAGAGGAGCUGGAGGAGGAACAAAGAAUGAUUGAAGAGAUUACUGAGCUUUUAUGCUGGGAAAAGAAGUAUGAGAAAGGUGAGAUAGCUAUAUGGAGAAAACGUGUAAACUCCGAGUUCUGCAGUAAACGAGAUUCCCGUGUAACUCUAUGUGACCUCUCGAAUUCAGAAAAUGUCUGGUAUAAGAAGAUGGAGGCAUGUGUAACUCCGUAUCCUGAAACAAUCAAUUUGGAGCAAGUUUCUGGCGGAGAGCUCAAGCCAUUUCCGG
rnacentral:misc_RNA from 1 species